rnacentral:misc_RNA from 1 species
GAUGAAGAACGCAGCGAAAUGCGAUAAGUAAUGUGAAUUGCAGAAUUCAGUGAAUCAUCGAAUCUUUGAACGCACAUUGCGCCCGCCAGUAUUCUGGCGGGCAUGCCUGUUCGAGCGUCGUUUCAACCAUCAAGCCCCAGGCUUGUGUUGGGGACCUGCGGCUGCCGCAGGCCCUGAAAACCAGUGGCGGGCUCGCUGUCACACCGGGCGUAGUAGAUUUUAUCUCGCUCAGGGCGUGCUGCGGGUUCCGGCCGUUAAAAAGCCUUUUUUACCCAAGGUUGACCUCGGAUCAGGUAGGAAUACCCGCUGAACUUAAGCAUAUCAAUAAGCGGAGGA